CCUACGGGAGGCAGCAGUGGGGAAUAUUGCACAAUGGGGGAAACCCUGAUGCAGCGACGCCGCGUGAGUGAAGAAGUAAUUCGUUACGUAAAGCUCUAUCAGCCGGGAAGAAAAUGACGGUACCUGAGUAAGAAGCCCCGGCUAACUACGUGCCAGCAGCCGCGGUACUUCGUAGGGGGCAAGCGUUAUCCGGAUUUACUGGGUGUAAAGGGAUCGUAGACGGUGCGCCAAGUAUGGAGUGAAAUGCCGAAGCUUAACUGCGGAAGUGCUUUGGAAACUGGCGAACUAGAGUGCGGGAGGGGUAAGCGGAAUUGCUAGUGUAGCGGUGAAAUGCGUAGAUAUUAGGAGGAACACCGGUGGCGAAGGCGGCUUACUGGACCGUAACUGACGUUGAGGCUCGAAAGCGUGGGGAGCAAACAGGAUUAGAUACCCGAGUAGUC
rnacentral:rRNA from 1 species